rnacentral:rRNA from 1 species
GAUGAACGCUGGCGGCGUGCCUAACACAUGCAAGUCGAGCGAUGAAGUUUUCUUCGGAAAACGGAUUAGCGGCGGACGGGUGAGUAACACGUGGGCAACCUGCCUUGUAGAGGGGAAUAGCCUUCCGAAAGGAAGAUUAAUACCGCAUAAUAUUGUUGAGUGGCAUCACUCGAUAAUCAAAGGAGCAAUCCGCUACAAGAUGGGCCCGCGUCGCAUUAGUUAGUUGGUGGGGUAAUGGCCUACCAAGACGACGAUGCGUAGCCGACCUAAGAGGGUGAUCGGCCACAUUGGGACUGAGACACGGCCCAGACUCCUACGGGAGGCAGCAGUGGGGAAUAUUGCACAAUGGAGGAAACUCUGAUGCAGCAACGCCGCGUGAGCGAUGAAGGUCUUCGGAUCGUAAAGCUCUGUCUUCGGGGAUGAUAAUGACAGUACCCGAGGAGGAAGCCACGGCUAACUACGUGCCAGCCGCCGCCGUAACAC